UUUAUACAAUAUGUUAAGUUCUUCUUAAUCAUACGGAGGAGGCUAAGGCAAAUGCGAAAAAGAGAACAACAAAGAACUACACCAACAUCGAAUUCUAAAAAUAACAACAACAAAAGCCAACUAUUGAAUUGGGACAAGCAUACUUGUUUUUGUUUGUUUGAAUUGUUUUUACAUUUCACCACUGCAGGGCUUUUUAAUAGAUAACUUAAAGAUAUGGGUUUGCUUAAUGUCGUACGGCGACCUAUGGUUUCUAACAGUUGUUUCAUUUGGUCCCUGGUGGAUAGUUGUCUCAUUGGCAAUAAUAACACAUCUCCUUAUUUCAUAUCAAACGAAAAUUAAAACAGUUAUCUAUCUAGAGAACUAUUGGUUAUACUACUAUGUUCAAUAAAAACACAACGAACCAUAAACAAAAACCAUGAAAAAAGCAAUUUUAAUAAAUUCGUGUAAUUGUUUUACUGUCAAUUAUUUUGUACAUAAAAAUUGUGCGAUCCCAUAUUGACAUUUUUGUUUUAAUUGAUAAAUUUUAUAUGAUCUGGCCAGGAACGUUGACAGUUGUUUUGCAGUCAUUACUUUGAUUAACAAGUUUGAUUUUGCAAGUUUUUAUGGACUUUGAAUUUACCACAGAGCUCGAUACUUUUGUUAAAACUUUUGUUACACAAAUUAUUUUCUUAAGCUGUUCGACUUUAAUUGUAAGUAGGUGAUUAUUGAGUUAUUCCACAUUGUAUAAUCCUUUAAGUUUUAACAAUAAAAUGAAUGGUAAAUAUUCAUUUUAUCUUAAUCGAAUGAGUUUACUGCUGCAACUUUUGAAAUUAUUGUACUUCCUUUUACUCCCUGUGAUCGAUUUACAUAGGAAAAGCAGGAAUUGAGAGAAAGACAGACCAGUGCAUUGUAUUUGAUUUCACUUAUUAUUGCACUGUCUGUCUCCGUCUACCUGGUCUAAUUAAAAAAUGAUAAAACAAAAUGUAUGAUCAUAGACAAAGUUCAAUACAAAGGACAGACAAAACAAAUGAACACAAAAUAUAAUUUGGAUUGGGAAAGGGGUGAGGUUUGUGAUGGGUCGUUUUGCGUACUUUCAACAAAUUCUAACGUACAGUAAGGGCUACUAAGCGACCUGGUCCAGUGUGUCUAACGAGAAACUGGUGCAUUUUAUACACCAAUCUAUUGUUUCUAUUAUUUGGAGGAAGGGGUUCAUUAUCAAUUUCAAAACAGUUGGUUUUUUUUAUAAAAUCGUUACUCAUUUCUUCUCUGACAGCGUGUGCUAAUUACAUGUUCAAUUGUCGUAAAAUGAGAGGCAAAAUGUUAUACAUUUCAGUUAAACUGUUACUCAUAAAAAGAGUUAAGAGUUAAGAGGAGGGAACACUAUACAUAUAUUCGAUGAAAUGGAAAUGGUCAUUGUUUUUCUUAUACUUGACACUUUGUUAAUCCAUUUAUAACAACAUUCAUUAACAUGCAGCUGGAAUAUAAAUCCUUACUGCAAACACUUAUCCUGUACUACAAACGCGGGCUGUGAAAUUACCAAGACUUCCGUUUGCAGGUCUUGCAUGAUCGUUUCUGGCCGUUCGAGUGAAUUGAUAUAAUUAAUCUUUUACUUUUAGGAAUUCAAAGAAAAAAAUAUAUAAAAAUAUUUUGAUGAAAUGAAAUAUCAAUAAAAAUUACAAUAUUACUGUGGAUUCAUUAUUAUUCGUUGGAUACCAAUUUUCGUGGAUACAGGAGAACCACGAAUUCAAAUGUUUAACGAAUAACAAAUUUUAUAUGGGCUUGUAUGCAGACAUUGACAAGACCAUGAAAUUAAAUAUCUAAGAACAUUCACGUUUUCCUUAAUCCACGAAAGUUGAUAACCACGAAAAUAAAUGAAUCCAC
rnacentral:lncRNA from 1 species